GGUCAGGAUGAACGCUAGCGACAGGCUAACACAUGCAAGUCGAGGGGCAGCAUAGAAGUAGCAAUACUCGGUGGCGACCGGCGCACGGGUGAGUAACGCGUAUGCAACCUACCUAUCAGGAGGGGAAUAACCCGGCGAAAGUCGGACUAAUACCGCAUAAAACAGGGGCACCGCAUGGUGAUAUUUGUUAAAGAAAUUCGCUGAUAGAUGGGCAUGCGUUCCAUUAGGUAGUUGGUGAGGUAACGGCUCACCAAGCCGACGAUGGAUAGGGGAACUGAGAGGUUGGUCCCCCACACUGGUACUGAGACACGGACCAGACUCCUACGGGAGGCAGCAGUGAGGAAUAUUGGUCAAUGGGCGGGAGCCUGAACCAGCCAAGUCGCGUGAAGGAAGAAGGAUCUAUGGUUCGUAAACUUCUUUUGCAGGGGAAUAAAGUGCAGGACGUGUCCUGUUUUGUAUGUACCCUGAGAAUAAGGAUCGGCUAACUCCGUGCCAGCCGCCGC
rnacentral:rRNA from 1 species